UUCAUGGAGAGUUUGAUCCUGGCUCAGGACGAACGCUGGCGGCGUGCCUAAUACAUGCAAGUCGAGCGGACAGAUGGGAGCUUGCUCCCUGAUGUCAGCGGCGGACGGGUGAGUAACACGUGGGUAACCUGCCUGUAAGACUGGGAUAACUCCGGGAAACCGGGGCUAAUACCGGAUGCUUGAUUGAACCGCAUGGUUCAAUUAUAAAAGGUGGC
rnacentral:rRNA from 2 species